CUCUGAUGUUUGUAAAACCACUUACUACUAUGAGUUAAGCCUUAGCCAAUUUAGACAUGAUUUAGAUCUCAUUUGCCAUUUUCUUUUAUCCAUGGCAUUCACUACCUUGAUCAUGUUACAACAUUUUGCAGCUUCAUAAAAGGUUUAGAUCACUCUUAAAAUGUGAUUUGAAUUGUGCUUUUGUGUGCCCACUGUUUUCAUACUAUAUUUGAUUUCAAAAAUAUUUUUUAGCAUUAGAGUUUCACUCAAAAUGCUAGAUAUAAUUCAGUUUUUCAGAUUUUGUCAAAUUCUUGCUGCACUGUUCUUGAUUUUUAUAAACCAUUGAAAUCAAUUCCGUUUGAGCUGAAUACUUUACAGCAUGUCAAUAAUAGUUACAUCUUUCUUCUGUAAAAUUUACAAUUUUUUCUGAGAUCUUUUGGUUGCCCAAAUGAUUUGAAAAUAGAGUGCAGAUAUCAGUUUCAGAAAACACAAUCAGUUUCAGAUUCAUAGUUCAGGGGACAUGGGAGUAAAGACGCUGCAGAGGUAUUCUUCCUCGUGGCAACCAUCCACAGCGUAGCAGUGCCGUGCUUGCCGUUCGUCAUGUUCAACCCCAUCCUGCUGUCCUGUGGAUCAUCUUCUCCAGCUCUAACCUCACUCAGGCAAUGUUUCCGACCAUUCCAAUGGUCAGCUGAGUCGAGUUGCCGAUGUGACCGGUCGCUACCACCGUGAGCUGAACACCAUGGACUUGCCAUUGACAACAUCGAUCACCAAAGUCUCUUCCUCCUUGACUGACUACACUAUUGAGUUUCCAAGUCCUUAUGGAUGAUAUUAGUGUUCGUUGCAAAAGGCGUAACUACACAUUUUCCUACGGAAAAGACAUGUGGUAGGCCAAGGACUACCUGGAGUAUCCACCUGUUGCAGCGGCUCCUAUUUGCCUGACUCAAUUUUGACAGAGGAAGAAGGGGAUUCAUCUACUAAUAAGAACCCAAGUUCUUCAGCCUGAGAUGUAACACUAUUAUUCUUCGCUCCCCAAAUUAUUUUUCAUCCUUUCUUAGUUACCAUGAGAGCUGCAGGACCCGUGUUGAGUUCAGAUAUGUAUCAUGGCAAAAUCAAAUGACUUUCAUGAGUCAGAGAGUCCUUUAUUCCUCAUGUAAAUUUUUUGGAUGAUGGAGAUGAAUUUAUAGAAAGUUUUAGUAGCAAAUGGAAACAUGAGUGAGUCUCCUUCUGCAAGGUGUGUUCAAUGUUCAAACAUUCUUUUGUUAUAUCUGUUCCAUGUUCUUAA